CCCCUCAAAAGUCGGCACAGAGCCCCCCCGCUCCUCACAAACGCUUGCUUUCUGUCAUUUUCCCUAGAAAACAAUAAAAAAAACUCCACCAGAAAUAUAAUUUCAAGUGUAUAUGUAAUAUUCACCGGCCCUGUGGAGAAAAACUACGGAGAGAGUGUGUGUGAGAGAGAGAGAGCGAGAGUUGAAAGGAAGAAAGAAUAUUUAUCAAAGCCCUGAAUCGAGGAGCUUUUGGGACUGCACCGACUCAGACUCUCUCUCUCUCUCUCUCUCUCUCUCUCUCAGUCUCAGAUAUCACCGUUCAAAUCCGAAAUGGUAUUUGAUCAGAACUCGGCUCCGAAGGAUGUGCGGCCGUUAAACGUAGCUCGAACUAUAGCCGAAGAGCCCCGCAUUGCGCCAGCUGCUGCUACGGGUCGAAACAUUGAAGGGUUUUACCCCAACCCACCCCGGGAGGCCGGGAACCCUUUGUCGAUACCGGUUUAUUAUCCUCCGGGAACAGUAUCGGAUGCUGGGUUUGUUGGUUUGGGGUACGGAAAUGGGGCGGCGACGCCUGGUGUGGCAAUGUGGGGUCCUCGUAUGCCUGUUCCGCUGGGGCAUCCGGGUGUGAGCCCUACUACUGGUGUAGGCAUGGGGCUUGGUUAUAAUCCCAAUUUGGGCAAUAGGGUUGGUGGAAACGCUGCUGAUCUCGCAAGUACUGUUGUGGCAACUGGGACUGGCUAUGGUGUGAAUUUGGGAAAUCGAGUUGGUGGCAAUACUGCCGAUCUUCCUGGUACGGCAGCUGGGACUGUCUAUGGUGUGAGUUUUGGCAACCGAGUUGGUGUUAAUGCUGCUGAUAUUGCUAGUUGUGCUAUGGCAACUGGCAUUGGCUAUCACGUGAAUUUGGGCAAUCAGGUUGGUGGUAACACUGCUGAUCAUGGUGGCAAUGGCGUGGAUCAGGCUGGUAGUGAUAUGGCAACUGGGCUUGGCUAUAGUCCCAAUUUAGGGAAUCGGGUUAGUGGCAAUGUCACUGAUAAGGCAGGCAAUAAUUUAGGUACUGGAUUCACUAAUAGUCCCAACUUGGGCAAUCGGGUUGUUGGCGGUGGCACUGGUCAGGCGAGCGAUGAGGGUGGGGAUGAUUCUGUGUCUGGGAAGAAAGUAAAGAUUUUAUGCAGUUUUGGGGGAAAGAUUUUGCCAAGGCCAAGUGAUGGGAUGUUGAGAUAUGUUGGAGGGCAGACAAGGAUCAUUGGUGUCAAGAGAGAUGUGAGCUUUAACGAACUGGCACAAAAGAUGGUGGAUACUUAUGGGCAACCUGUGAUUAUCAAAUAUCAGCUCCCCGAUGAGGAUCUUGAUGCAUUGGUGUCAGUCUCAUGUCCCGAUGACCUUGAUAACAUGAUGGAUGAGUAUGACAAACUGGUUGAGAGGUCUUCAGAUGGGUCGGCUAAGUUAAGGUUGUUUCUGUUUUCUGUUUCAGAACUCGACCCUUUGGGUACAGUACAGUUUGGGGACUUAAAUAAUAGCGGGCAGAGAUAUUUUGAUGUGGUGAAUGGGAUCAUGGAUGGAGUUGGUGGUGGAGUCAUGAAGAAGGGAAGUAUGGCAAGUGCUUCUUCAACCCAAAAUUCUGAUUAUAGUGGGAACGAUGCUUUUGAUAGCUUGGGUCCUGGUCAAGGGGAUGCUAGUGGGCCCUCAUCAGCCAGCAUGUUAUCACCCAGAGGAAAUUCAGCUACUUCUAAUGACACUGCUACAAGAAUGGUGUGUGUAGAUCCCAGCCCUGCAACUUAUGCUGAUACCUCUGCGGCACCACCAGGCAUUCCAAUUAUGAGUUCUGCUCUUCUCCAAACAUCUCAGCCUGAGGUUCAAUUAGAAAGCUCUGUGCCUGUUACUGUUACGCAGCCACAAUUGGGGUUGCAGCAAAGCAGAAUGGACAUUCCGACAUCUUCACCUUAUAUGCAGGCCUAUGCUGAUCCUCGCCAAGAAGUUAUGAAGCAUGCAGAUUAUCUACAGUUUCCUCCUCAAAUGGGUUUCCCGAAUCCUCAUCUAUUGGGGACUGCUGGGUCUGUGUUCACCCAGCAGCAGCUCCAUGAUAACUCUGCUGGCAUCACCUCCCAUCAGUUUAUUCCUGCAGUGCACAUGACAAUGACUCCUGCAUCUUCUCAUUUUAGCAUAAGACCGAAUAUGGUUCAGCCAGUUAUGCAACCACAACUAACUCGGUUGGAUCAUUAUGCUGAUGAAAGCAAAUUUGGACCAGGUGUUGUCCAACUUCCUGUUGAUCAGAGCUACAAUUCAUAUCAGGUUCAUGUCCCUUCUUCGGUGGUAGGAGGUGGUUAUGGCUGGCACCAGGUUCCAGUGCCCGAGCGUGUAAUUCUCUCUGAUGGAUUGGUACCCCAUCAACAGGUAAGGUUUCCUGAGAAAAUACCAAGGUUGGAUGAUUGUUAUAUGUGUCAAAAAGCACUGCCUCAUACACAUUCGGAUACUUUGGUACAGGAUCAAAGAGACAGUAGCUCAAGCCUAAUGUCUGAUGUGAACUCAAUUUGUCAUAGUCUCCAUGGGGAGGAUAAGUUGAAAGGCCAGCCAAUGAAAAGGGUUAUUGUAACUGGAGCCUUGGGGGAAGGCAUUAUUGAGCAGAAAGCCGUUCCUCAACCGAGGGUCCUUGGUCAGGUAGAUAGUCAAGUUUGGACACCACAAAUGGACAUAACUAGGUUUACUCAGAGUCCAGAGACGCAGAUUGAAAACGAAAUGACUGUACUCCAAAAUGAAAUCGAUCUCGAUAGGCUUCGAAUUGCAGCCCCCCCGGGUGUCAUCAGUAGGACAAGUGAUAUACAGUCGUCUCAUGCUGCAUUCAUGACCAUUGCACCUCAUUCUUACCAAGAUGAUGCUGUCCAGCAGCCUUCAGUGCCAGGUCAAUACCAGGUAAAAAAGGAUGCCUUAAUGAAUAACAGUGAUGUAUCUCCUGUGGGUGGUGUAUCAACUCAAAUUUCAGAAUGUGUGGUUCACGAGUCUCCCAAAGAAUAUUCUAAAAAACUUCCUGGUAACCUUCCCAGAGAAGAUACUGCAGACACUUUCUUUCCACAUGAACAGCUGAGACCAGUUGAUGGGAGGAUGGAUACCCUUGGGAUGCCCUCCCAUGAAACUUACAUUAAUGAGAAUAGGAAGUCAAAUCUUGAUAAAAUUAGAAAGGAAGAAAACUUCGAUAAAAAACCACAGCUGGUUGCUGGGAAGGAGGUGCUUCUAGACAACACAUUUGGCAAACCCAAAGCUGUUUUUGACACAGUUUGCAAUAAACCAAUUGAUGGUCUGCCUUGUCCCUCUACAGAUGCGCCACAUGUGAAUAAUUCUCGACCUUUGGAGUCCUAUGAAAUGUCAAAACCACCUAUUUGGGUUAAUCCUGUAUCAUAUUCACAAUCUAACAUUGGAUUCCGUAACUUGAAUCCUGAGGAAACUUGUUUUGGCGGCCCUGCAUUACUUGGUGUUGAGUCUUCUCAUCCAACUGAAAGAAUUCCAGCUCCUGCUGAGUGGAAAGAGGACACGCUUCAGUUCCAGACCAAGAUGGUCCCAGGUGAUACAGAAGCUGUCCCUUCGAAUAGUAAUGUCCAAGAUUCCUCGAACUCACUUUUCAGCAAUCAGGAUCCUUGGUCUCUACGCCACGAUACUUAUUUUCCACCUCCAAGACCUAACAAAGCUCCGCUUAUAAAAGAAGCCCUUGCUACCAGGGAUCCUUUAGGUGGGAACCAUUUGGGCAGUGGUGGGGGGCCAAAUGCAGAAGUACAACUGGAGGUUGGAGUUCAUCAGCCAUUGGGCAUUCCAAACAGGGAUUUGCAUUUGGAGCAGGUUAGGUCUGCUAAAGGUUCGGCAGAGGAACAGAUUAAGCAAGAUCUCCAGACCGUUGCCGAGGAUGUAGCUGCUUCUGUUCUGCAUUCAGCUUCACCUUCCAAUUCUGACUUGCAUGAUAGAAUUGAGUCUGCUUUUGAAACCUAUCCUGAAGGAGAUAUUCAAAACAGUUGUGGUGACAAGCAGGAUAAAGCUAAAGUUGAGGACGACAAGAACAAGCUGUCAGAUAAGACAAACCUUGGUUUUCCGGUAUCUGAUGGCAUUGGCCGCUUGCAGAUUAUACUGAAUAGUGACCUUGAAGAGCUUAGAGAAUUGGGUUCAGGCACCUUUGGCACUGUUUAUCAUGGAAAAUGGAGGGGCACAGAUGUUGCAAUCAAACGGAUUAAUGAUAGAUGUUUUGCGGGGAAGCCAUCAGAACAAGAGCGUAUGAGAGAUGAUUUCUGGAAUGAGGCAAUCAAGCUCGCUGAUUUACACCAUCCCAAUGUAUUAGCUUUCUACGGUGUUGUGCUUGAUGGCCCUGGAGGUUCUGUGGCAACAGUAACGGAGUAUAUGGUUAAUGGUUCUUUAAGAAAUGCUUCGCAGAAAAAUGAGAAGAGUCUUGACAAGCGCAAGUGUGUCUUGAUUGCAAUGGAUGUGGCCUUUGGAAUGGAGUACCUGCAUGGAAAGAAUAUAGUGCAUUUUGAUUUGAAAAGUGACAAUUUACUGGUCAAUCUUCGAGAUCCUGACCGUCCAAUAUGCAAGGUGGGUGACUUGGGCCUGUCCAAGGUGAAAUGUCAGACACUAAUCUCUGGAGGUGUUCGGGGAACACUUCCUUGGAUGGCACCGGAGCUUUUGAAUGGUAGCAGUAGCCUAGUUUCUGAGAAGGUUGAUGUAUUUUCAUUUGGAAUCGUGAUGUGGGAGCUGCUCACUGGAGAAGAGCCAUAUGCCGAUUUGCACUAUGGGGCUAUCAUAGGGGGUAUUGUGAGUAACACAUUGCGGCCGCCUAUACCGGAGUCCUGUGGCCCAGAAUGGGGAUCACUGAUGCAGAGAUGCUGGUCAUCAGAGCCAUCUGAGAGACCAAGCUUCACUGAAAUUGCUAAAGAGUUACGUGCUAUGGCAGCAAAGCUUCCUCCCAAAGCACAGAACCAACCACAACAACUGCCCUCUACACAGCUCCAAGUUCAGAAAUGAUUUCAGGCAAGUUGCUUCCACUUAGUGUCUAUGCCCUUUGGCUAAAGGGCUUGGCUCACAGCUUGUUGGAAGACAAUUGAUGUCUUGUGCUCAAAUGUUGACUCUGAUUGGUGGCCCAUGCCCUGAUGCUACUACUAGUUUGAGCUGUCCUUGAGGAGGGGAAUACAAGUUCUUUUUAUACAUUUAUUCCUGCUCAAAGUAUAAGAAACCAACACUGCGCAAUCAUUAUGGUCAUGGUGGAAAGGGAAUCAGCUUUUGGUUGGCAGUCGAAUACGAGAAAAAGAGAGAAAUCCAUAAUGCCUGGAAGUUGGCGUUCAUACAAAAUUCCGCUUAUAACACAAGAAAAUAUGACUUGGUGGUUGCUCAUUGACGUGGCAGUCAAUCUCACCAUAUCCUAUUUACUGUUCACCCUUUACAUUAUGUUCUUAUGGUUUGGCUUAGCUCGAACACAUACACCUCUAUAUAUAUAUAUAUAUAUAUAGAGAGAGAGAGAGAGAGAGAUUCUUGCUACUUCGCCACUCGAAGUAUCCUGUUGGAAUUGUCCCGUUGAUGUUCUACCA